CUUCACUGAUGCAGCGCCGCCAGUCGUUUAUAUAGAUGAGUAACUAGGAAAGGCGCGACCAAAGACCAAUUAAUUUCAAUGAGGAAGAAUUAAGCACGUGCUUAAUCGACAACAAGGGGACUUACAAGCGCUUCACUUUGACUGGAUCCUGCCCUUUCAGGAAUACAGAGGAGGCAGUAAACUAUAGGUAUUGUUAGGCUGAUACUGUAUCUCUACAUUCUGACGCAGAUAACUGGCAUAGCAAGCAGAGCAUGUUUGUUUGCUUGUUUGUAUGUUUAUUUGUGGAGGAACACAACACAAUCAGACUCAUCAUAAGCAUGAAAAAGGGUGAACGUGUUCAAGUCUCUGUCGCCAAACACAACCACCUAUUGCCAGGUCUUGGCGGGCUAAUCGUCGCCUUCAUUUCAAAGCUGCCGGCUCCCUUUGAUUUUAGCAGCAGCUACUGGGAGGUGUGUUUUGUGGGUGUUUAAAGCCCUUCGUUUGGUGGCCCUACGUGUACCUCUGAGACGGAGUACAUGCGUUCUCCUUUGUCAUUUACAUCCAGGAUUUGUUCCUUUGAAUAUUUAUUCCUUUAUUCCUAUGGCUGCUUUGUAUGGCCCCUCACUGCCCCCAAAAGUUGCACUACCACGCAAAUGCAUGCAGAAUGUGCAAAUAUUUUGCCCCCACUCAGUCAGGAAUUCUCGAGGGACACAAGGGGUGUCGGCAGCAGGACUUUGCUGAUUGUGCAACCUUUAAAGGACAAUUCGGUGGAACUCACUCCUCAACUGCAGUAAAUGGCAGCGCUCUCGCAGAUUUUGAUGGUGAGUCUGGAAGGCGCUCGCUGUUAUUAGGACUGCCUCCUACUCCACCCUAUUUCAUAUAAUAAUAAUACUAAUGAUUCUUUCUUUCUCAAAACCUCACACAGCCUCAUAAUAGAUUAAUAGUUCUUCAUCACAAUGAGAUGAAUUUUCACAUGCCCUUUAAUUAUCAUCUCAUCUCCAGCGAACACUGGUUUUGGAGAAGGUAAAGGGGGGUAUUGGAUACAACUACAAAGAUGGUUCCCCCCCCCCCUUGGGAAGAUUAAUGUUGGCUGUGAUUCUUAAAAGAUCUUCAGAUAUAGCUCAGCUGCUUGCAUAACAACAAUCAACUACCGCAAGGCCUUCAUCACAUCACUUUAUUAAAGGGGGAAAGUAUUUUUAGCCUGUCUGUUUCAGACCCAGCCAACCAUAAACAAAGAUUCUUAAAUGCAAAUACGGUCUUAUUUGGGUUCCAGAAAGGCAAAUGAGAUUUCUAACUUUUGGGCAUGCCAUAAAAGGAGAGUUUUUAAAGCCACCUUCACUCUUAAUUACGGGAAAGCCCUAGCGUUUCCAAAUAUAGGAAAAGGACUCAGUCCAAGUUAAGCGUCAACUUGCUUCUGAGUAAAACUGGAUAGGAUCCGGCUGCAAAAUUUAUAGCUUUCAAGUGAGAGAUAUUUAAACACCUGCUUUAUAGUUAUAGGCAGACACAUUUACUUGGGAAUAAGUAAAUAGGGGUAGGAUGAGGGAGCACAUCUCUCUGAAAUCUAUAGAACUCCAUAGCCCUUAACUCAAGAUAGAAUGUGUGCGCAUUUCCUUUCAAAUUAAGGUUUUUGGGAGUAAUAAUAGAUACACCUUGACAUAACCUCAUGUUGUUGUUUGUUGGUUGGUUGGUUGGUAAGUGAGUGGUUUUCUUUAAUUAAUUCAUCAACUCUGCUGGUUAACAUAAUCUCACAGAAACAAAGGCUGGCUGUAAGAAAUUCUAAGCAAACUCUUAUGGCUCCUGCAAGGAAUACAAAUGUAUCCAUCUUUGUAUCUUUCCUAUCCUUUUCAUCUUUAUUAUCACUCUUGUUAACAACACCAGCGAGGCUUGAUACAUAUAUCUCGUUUAAAUGCAGUCAACCAUGAAGCCACUGCAGUUGGUUGCUACAGACAUAUUAAUUAAUUUAUUCUCUCAACAGUAAAAUAUUGCUGUGUCUCCUUGCUACCAACCAAGUCAUAUAAAAAUCAGGGUUUAUUUUUUUUACCCCCUCUGCAGUUCAUUAGGCUUUACCUAUAAGUUUCCAUUUGAAAUGAUUUGCUUUAAAACUAAUUACUCGUAUUCUAUUUCAUUUCCCAAUCCCGUAGUGUAAGAUGGAUUCAAAGGUGGCGUGGGUGGCAUAUGUUGGUAAACAUUGCUAAUUAUUCCCACUCUGUCUUGAUUGUGUAUUUAUGAACCCACCCAUAUAAAAGGGAGAGAAAAUACUCAGUAAAAGGUGCGCUGGCAUAUUGAUGAUAAUGGCACAUGUUACUUAAAAGAGUGUAAUGUCGCUAGGGACAGUGUAAGAUGAUAAUGUAGCAGCCGAGAUUUUGUUUAGCAGGUUUCCACUUUGAGAAUAAAAUAUUGGACUCACUCACAGCGCAUUCCAAUACACACCUACUCAGAAGUGAGCCUCACUGAGGUUAGGCAACGUGGUGCCCUCCAGGUGUGGUGGACUGCCAAAGCCUAUCAGCCCAAGGCAGCAUGCCCAAUGGUCAGGGAUGAUGGGAGUUGGAGUCCAACUUCUGCAGGACGAUUCAUGGUGUGUAUAGGACUGCAGUCUCAGGGUGAGGAAGAAGAGAAUGAGGACCAGAAUCGCACACUGGGAUGACAACAGAAGGCCCAAGCAUAAGCUAGCCCUGCACAAUGUCUACAGUGCUCCAGGUGUAUUCAGAAAAGACUGUUUUUGGGCCAUGGCUUCUAGGGAAUUUCAGGGACCUCUGUUUGCCUAAUCCAGGGGUAGGCAACCUAAGGCCCAGGGGCCAGAUGCGGCCCAAUCGCCUUCUCAAUCUGGCUCGUGGACAGUCCAGGAAUCAGUGUGUUUUUACAUGAGUAGAAUGUGUGCUUUUAUUUAAAAUGCAUCUCUGGGUUAUUUGUGGGGCAUAGGAAUUUGUUCAUCCCCCCCCAAAAAAAUAUAGUCUGGCCCCCCACAUGGUCUGAGGGAUGGUGGAAAGGUUGCUGACCCCUGGCCCUAAUCCCUGAGUAAAUGCACUGGCACAUAGCUUCAAUUGCAAUCUCACUUCCAAACAAGUGGGCAGGGUAGACCCCUUGCCAGGGGACCUAGUUGAUGGUUACACCUCCUGGGCUGAUACACUUCCUUAAUCCCAAUGGCAAGGAUUUGAUCCUCUGUUUUUGCAUUUGCUGAAGAGAAGUUAAGCCCACAUCAGUGCUGUUAAGGUAUUUAUUUACCCCUCCAGGGAUAUCUCUUCUGGUGUGGCUGAGGACUAGUAUAGAAAUAAAAUCAGAAAUGAGGGGAAAGUAGAUGUUGCUUUCAUUAAGCAACAUCUAAGAGUCCUCUCUGAUGUGGUUUUAAGCUCUUCUCAUGUGUUAGCCCUCUCAAAUGGAAAACAAUGGGACUUAAAGUGUGUUUAACUCUGACUGGAUAGGAUCUAUCAUUAUCAUGAUGAAAAAUCCAAGAAAAGGUAACCACUUUAAAGUCCUGUUGAUUACGGUAGGGUAAUCAGAGUUAAACACCUGAUUAACUCAAAGAGCUUUUAAUUUUGAGUAGAUAGUACCCGUUUGUGUAACUAACUCUACUACUACCACAUUGCACCUAUGUGAUAGUAUACCUAGGGUGCCAUUAAUAUAGGGUGCUAUAUUAAUAUUUACAUAAUAUUAUGUAAAUAUUCAUUUUUAAGCUUCCCGUUUAUAAAGGUUGGAGAGAUUAAUAAUGAGGGCGAUAAUAUUUGCUCCGAAACACGUUUGGUUGUCGAUGCCUGGCUCCAAUCUUCUGAUCGCCCUUUGCUAUUCGGUGUCCCGAAAGAAGAUGCAUUCCUAACAAAGCCUAUCCGUUUUCGAAAAUAGACACAGUUUGUACGUGGCAAAUGGCGCCUAGUGUCAUACACGAGCGAAUGACCCUAAAUAAUGGAAUUUCAUUUUUUUAAUGCCCUUCACGAGGAGAUUUGUUAUGUUAUCUUUUUUGCUUUCUCUUCAGUCUGCGGGGUCUUUCCAAAAUACCAGAAGAGCAUGGGAAUGUUUGCAAAACAUUUUUGGCUGCAGCCGUUGACGGGAUGAAAGCCAAGGCAAGGGAAGAGACAGACAGAUAGCUUUGCUGCAGAUCCUGCGUGAAGUCCAAGACCAAGGCUUGCUGACCCCCAAGCGAGGGACCAUUUGUCAAGAGGGAAGACAUCCCGUGCGCCCGGGAAACCGCGAGAAACAGUAUUUCAAUUGUCUUAUAUAUGCUUCAAAAUAGCACCGAAUAUGAAUUCUCAGUAAGUAGAUAUGUGGCAGUCACUGCAGAGGCUAAGCUUACCGAAAUAUAAGAUAGAUACAGGGAUUAGAGAGAGAGACAGACAGAUGGAUAAGAUGGACAGACAGAAAGCGGAGGCAGGCCAACCAGUAUUCCACAUUUGCACAUUAGCACGAGACAAUGGCGUUUUAAUAAUUUAAAAUAAAAUAUUUUUUUAAUCACUGGCUUGCGCUUUUUAAAAAUAAAAAUAAAAAAAAUCCAUGCUAACAUUUCCCUACUUGGUAACUUGAAGGAAAUGUGUCGGAUACUUGUUAGCAUUGUUAUCCGGAUCAUAAAAACUGCCUUCUUACUUGGGAACAAGUUCCAUUGGAAUAACUAUGCAUAAUGCGAUAUGCUGCUGCUGUUGGUGGUGUAAUAAGGAGGAAAAGGACAUCCUGUUAAACCAGUCCUGAAUGUUGGAUGGUAGUUGUGGUGGUGAUGCGUGUGGAGCUUACCUGAUACUGGCGAGCGAGCAAAACACAUCGCUGGGGUUUUCUUGGGACUAGCAAGCAUCGCUUCAGAUCUAUAAUAUAUAAUUCCGCUUUGCACCAUCUUUCUGCACUGAACAAUGACUAUUAUGUGCAUAUGUUCAGCCCCAGAGGGUAAAUUCUCUACCCCCCCCGAUAACACAUAAAACAUUUGCUCACAACCCUUUCGGUAUAGAGAACACCUAUAGUAAAAUAAUAAUAAUAAGGAUAAGGAUAAAGUAUUACUUGUUUUUGGAUCAAGCCUAUGCGCUUUUGCAUAUUUCCCAUAAUUUUGGAAUAAUUUGCACUGCUGAAAUACAACUUAACUGGGUGUGUGCCUGUCGUUGGGUUUUCCCCCCCUUAUUCUCUUGAAGGCAGAAUUAUUCUUUGCAAUUCAGGAGAUGGGGAUAUACUUUCCGCUUCUUAAUGAAUUCAUUUUAAAGCCAUAGCUAUGAAAUACACCCCUAUAUAAAAAAAGCAGAAGCAGAAGCAGCAAGCAAGCUGAGGAACAAUACGCACUUUUACUGCGAGCAACAAUUUGUCCUAGCCACUCACUGGUAAUAAAUAAGUUUUAUCUAUUUGGGUGAGUGUUUAAGCGUCUUUGGAACCAAGCAUUCCCUCUUCAAGGUGAACCGAUCCACAAUUUUCUACACAAUUUAUGCCUCUAUAUACAAUCCAGGCUUGUUGGAGAUGAUCCAGAACCCUAUUCACUUCUGUGGAGCCCUUAACAGUCCUCAUAUGACAGCCAACGUUCCGUGCACACCUCCAGUAAAAGAGGCAGAAAUGAUAUUUUUGGUGGGUACUUCUUUCGAAGAAAUGAGAGUGAAAAAAGAAAAGAGAAACCUUGUGAGUGAAAUCUAUAUCCUUUUGAAGCCAAGGGCAAGUCUCCAAUUGAUUUUAAUGGCGGUGAAUGACAGCUCUUGAAAGCACGGUGGGGAGUGAUUCAGUGAGAUGGGGACCCCUAAAGAGAUGCACUUGAAAGAAAGUCCUACAGAGAUACACCAAGGUCCUCUGCGUCCUUACACAGAGGUAAGCCCUACUUAGUUGAAUGCAGGUUACUCCCUAGUAAAGGGUGCAUAGAGACGGUAUUACUACUACUGCCGCUGCUAGCUCUUUUGAGUUUUCAGAGCACUUAAAUCCCCACAACAACCUUGUACGGUAGGUCAGUGUUAUUAAAGGUGAGCAGGGUGAGGUUGCCAAGUUCGUAGCUUGCCUAGCGCCUGCUAGGCUGUAACGCUACACAAAUUUGCCUGCGAGUUAAUUCCACUGAACAUAAUGGGGCUUACUUCUCAGUAGGCAUGUAGAUAAUUGAACUCUUAAGGACCGCAGGGAGGUUUGUACCAGGGACUAGCCCUCAGCGAAACUUGCUUCCAGAUAAGCACCUUAGGCUCGAAUUACUGCAAGGAAAAAACCGCACAUAAAGUUUUCUGCGCUAGGGGAAUCAAGAGUUACCUAUCUAUACCUCGAGACAUCCAUAGCCGCCAUUAUUAGCAUUUAAAUGAAUUUGUGCUGGAUUCUUAAGGGGAACAGUGCGAAUAUUAGAGGAGUCGGUGAAUGUUUAAAGGAUCAGGGCCCCGUUGUCUUCCAACUUCCCAUAGAUCUCAAUUACUCUUGAUGUAUCAUAGAAAUAGUUUCCCUUGAAAUGGAUAUUACAUCCUAAAAGCUUCUGGGCUCAUAUCCAGCCCAGGUACUGAACUAUAUCGAGUUCCCAAUGUAGGAUGUUCACCUACAAAGGCACUAUAGCCCUAUGAACAAAGAAGCAACGUUUUAUAACAUUCGUGUCAUUAAAUUUUAACUCAUAGCCCGCUGUUAUAAUUUCUUCCUGGACUUUAUGAAGGAUUUCCUAUUAAUUUCGCGCGCAAACACAAACACCCACCCGCUGCUCCACCCAGUAUUUUAAAUGCGUGCGAUGGGGUCAGAGCUGAAUUCAAUCGGAUGCUGUUGCCGACAAAUAAGAGGAGGCUGACCAAACCUGGUAUGUUCACCUUUUAAAUAACAUUAUGCACACACAAUAUACAAAUCAAUGCAUCCCCCAUGAUCCGUCUCUGCUACCGAUACGUGUGCGAGUGUCGUUUGGUCACAAUUGCAGCUCCUGCACACCACAAGCCAAGCAAGCCUCUCUGGCGCGUCAAUAUUGUGUAUGUUCAGAAGGGGGCGUCGCGGGUUGGGGGGAGGAGAGAGGAGUUAGCAAACUACAUCACCGAUCUCUAACAAUUGCCUUCGCGCAAUCUCUUUCUUUCCUUAAUGCACCUAUACCAUAAGAACACAGGACCUCUUUGCAAGGAAGUGCCUUCUUCUAAUAACAGGACUAAAGAAAGCGGAGAGAAAAGACUGGCAUAAGCUCACACCUAUCCUAUUCCCACUUAUUAAAAGCCGAAGGCGCAAAGGAUUCUACAUGGGGAUGAGCAGUUCUUGAUCCGCUUUUUGGAGAUGGUCUCUCCCUCCUCCCCUUCACAAUCCACUUAUUGAUCUUUUAAAAGGUUUUUGGCGUGCGUGCGCCUGCCGGUGUGUGUAUUAACGCAUUGCUCCAGCCGCCACUAAACUUUAUGGUUGAACCGAAGACCUGAAAGGUGGAUAAAGCCAUUACAUGUAAAUCUUCCUUUCCAGAGGAAGAUUCCAUCUCUCUCUCUCGCUCUCUCCAUACAUACGUACAUACAUACAUACAUACACCCCCAUUCGCAACCACUCAUACAACCUACACAAUUAAUGAAAUUUAAAUUGACUCUGUGGAAUCGCUGCUAUAAAGGCACCUGGCUGGAUAUUCAGAAGAGAGAAUAAAACACGAAGCCAACGGGAGGAAUUAAAUAUGGGCUUAUUGAAGAAGAUCGAAUCCAAGGCUCGUGAGGGUUUUUGUGUUUUGUUUUGGAGGUGGGGUAUUUGUUUUGUUUUUGUUUAUAUUACAAGAGUUGCAGGUUUAAAUUAAAGUGUCUCUUAAUUUUUUUAAAAAAAACAUCCAUGUCAUUUUAAAUAAAUA